AGGAUGAGGGAUCCAUUGAGAAGUUGUCAUCGCAAGAUCUAUUAAAACGGCAUGUUAAACGAGCAAAGAAAGUUCGAUCACGAUUGAGGGAAGAACGGUUGCAUCGAAUUGAAAGAUACAAAACCCGGCUCGCUCUUCUCCUUCCUCCGCCAGUCGAGCAGUUGAGAACUGAUAAUAUUACUGGAAGCUGAGUGUUCAUCCCAAAAAACUUGUCGAAUUCGCUAUGGACCUUUGUCCAAAUCGUUCUUCCCAACGACAGAUGAACUCGAGAAACAUUCAACGGAAGCGUGGGGAGGAUUACAUGUAGGUAAGCAUAGGAAGGUAUUUGAUAUAGUUAGGUGAUUCUUGUUCUGUCUUGGCAGCAGUUUGUAUCAUGGUGCUUUCUAUCAAGUUUUAAAAAAAGAAGACACAAUGAGUAGGGCCAUGUGAAUAGUGAAUAAUUGUUCUUUACACUCUGGUGUGUGUGUGCGCGCGCUUUGACAAAUACCAUUAGUAUCCA